AUAUUUACCUGGGGUGGAAGUCAAACAUGAUCAAAUGGAUGAUCUCUCUAUAGUGAAGCCUGUUCAUUACACAUUGAAUUGAUUGACCUUUGCGUGUAUCGCUAAUGUGGAUACCGAGGUGCGUAAUUUUUAUCAGCUGUUACGCGCUGUUGUUUGCAGA